GACUGAUGCAGCCAUGCCGCGUGUGUGAAGAAGGCCUUCGGGUUGUAAAGCACUUUCAGUUGUGAGGAAAAGUUAGUAGUUAAUACCUGCUAGCCGUGACGUUAACAACAGAAGAAGCACCGGCUAACUCCGUGCCAGCAGCCGCGGUAAUACGGAGGGUGCGAGCGUUAAUCGGAAUUACUGGGCGUAAAGCGCACGCAGGCGGUUUGUUAAGCUAGAUGUGAAAGCCCCGGGCUCAACCUGGGAUGGUCAUUUAGAACUGGCAGACUAGAGUCUUGGAGAGGGGAGUGGAAUUCCAGGUGUAGCGGUGAAAUGCGUAGAUAUCUGGAGGAACAUCAGUGGCGAAGGCGACUCCCUGGCCAAAGACUGACGCUCAUGUGCGAAAGUGUGGGUAGCGAACAGGAUUAGAUACCCUGGUAGUCCACACCGUAAACGCUGUCUACUAGCUGUGUGUGUCUUUAAGACGUGCGUAGCGAAGCUAACGCGCUAAGUAGACCGCCUGGGGAGUACGGCCGCAAGGUUAAAACUCAAAUG
rnacentral:rRNA from 1 species